AUUCCUGUUAAUUGUGAUAACUCUGUGAAGGAAAAACAAAUUCAUAAACAAAAUCAAAGGAAACAAAAUAAAUAAACAUUUAAAACAUCUUUGUUUUGAAAAAAAAAGUAUAAUAAAAAGCUCAUAAAAAAUCUAGGAUUCCUAAAAAUAUGAUUAACUUGAUCUCUCUGGACAUUUUAUACGUUCGUAACGUUCUGUUUAAUGACCUCAUUGAGAUUUUUGUGUGUGUCUUAUGCGUGCUGCGUGCAUUUUGUCGAAAAUAGAAUUUUUCAAGCUGUGUGUCCUCUCGUCGUCGUCCACCCAGCAGAGCAGCACACCAACUCGUCUGCCACAAACGGCACAGAACAGAAAGUGUGUUGAAAUGCAGCACAAAGAGAGACACCGAGAAGAAAAAUAAUCAAAAAUAGGCCUUUUUCGACUUGAAUCAAAUGAGGAAACCCCUGUGUGUAGUUUGGUUGUGGUAGCGGCCCUAUAUCAAGAAGACUGGUGGAAUAAGUGAGUCAUCAAUUAGAAUGCAGUCGUAAGUGCGCACGUGAGCUAGAAGUUAGUCAUGCAUUAGAAUUUCUCGGUUGUUUUUCUUGUUGUUUUGUUUACUUUUAGGUUUGCCAAAGACAGAGUUACACCCACAGGGAUUGUAAAUUAUGCGUAAAUUCUAGGUUCAAGUCAAAGCAAAACAAGAAUAUUAUAAUAAUGCGUGAUAUUAAGGAAGCAAAUUCUUCUAUAGGCCUAUAUUAAAUUUAAUUCAUAGUUCAACUGAGUCGAAAAACGCCUCUUAAUUUUGCAUUAACGUCAUAAGUCAUGGAAAUUAGGCAGAAUUUAUAAAUAUUGUAAAAAUAAAAAAUGUUUA